rnacentral:lncRNA from 1 species
UGGUUCCCCACCCUUUUGUCAAAUCCAGCACGAGAUCUUAGAGUCAGACUCACUCCAAGCACUAUAACCUCACUAGUAUAAUUACUGGUACCACUACUGCUAGUUCCCUCAAAGAAUCAAUCGAGUCACUAUUUGUAGAUAUAAAUUUGAGAGCCAUUUUCUAAUUGCAAAUGGGUAAGGAUAUGAUGGAGUUAGCAUAUGCGAGAGAGUUCAAGGGAUUGAAGACCCUAAUUUUGCAAGAAAAUCAAAAUGCAUAUUAUGUCCAUUGUCUUUGCUCAUCAGCCAGUUGGCUCUUGUAGCUGGGGCAAAUAAACAUUAGAUUUUCUUGUUUUUUUUAAUUGGAUUUUCAAUGUACUGAAUGUUGUUGGAGAGUUCAAUGUAGGCGUCAUGAUGCUCUUCUUGCGAUACAAGCGCUGAAGUUUUAAUAAAGCACUAAUGCUGGUAAACUUGAAGUGGGCGAGGCUUGAAUCAAGAGUCCCCCCCCCAACCUUGCACUUCCUUCUGAUACAACACGUUGGAGCUCACAUUAUGAAACUUUGAUCAGCUUCAUUAAAAUGUUUCCAUCUAUAAUUGGUGUGCUUGAAAAAUUCGUGAAGAUGGGGAUGGAGAUAAUAAUGUUGUAUGUCGAAUGGUCUUUUUGUUAAAUACUCCAACAAUUUGAUUUUGUUUUCAUCUUCAUUUGAUGAAAACAUACUUCAAUCACAAAUGAGUUUGUCACAAGCCAAUGCAGGGAGAGCCAAGAUAUUGUUAAUAUGGCUAUGCAUUUGGUUUAAAUUUUAAGAACACUACUCACAGUGUAUUAAGAUGAUGGUUGGAAUUCUUUCCUUAGUCCACUUACAUUCUUUUGUGGCAAGUAUGAUAUACAUGAUGCCAUAUGAAGGGGAUGAUCUAGCUGCAAGUCGAAAAAAAAAUUUUGACGGUGAAGUUACUAUAUUACUCAUUAUGUGUUGAAUUGUUUCUACACGGUGCUAGACUGCAGCUUCAAACUAAAUGACCGUUUCCACUGUCACAACUACCGAAUUACUAGUUUGUGUGGCUGUUUAAGUCCUAUGGAUUUAUUUUCUUCGCCUUGAUAAGAGCAGAAACUUAUCCGCUUGCCCCUUUUAUCCAAAUGAGUUUUUCCACCAUGAUGUAUGGUUCUUGAGUCACUUGAUUCAUAUGUUUAUGAUAUGUGGCCAUAAGUAUUUACUUUGUGGUUUUUAGAGGACUUGGUGAAUUGGCUCACAAUUGGUUGCAGACGAAAAGAAUUGCAGUAUAUCCAUUAAUUUAUCCGCGUUACUAAACUACAUUGGGUUUAAUAACCCCGUUGGCAACGCAUCAGUUUUCCAGAGCAUUCUCAGCUUUGAAGAUCGUGAAGAAGUCGUUUUGUGCAAUCGAAUAGGAGAUCAAUUUUUAUAAUGAUAGUCCUGCUUGUUUACUUUGGACAAAAAACAGGUUUUAACCGACAUUAGUAAUGAUGCUAUCAUUGAUCGUUUUCAGAAAAUGAAAGCCGUCAUGGGCAAUUGUAAAGGUAACAAUGUUAACUCUUAAUAUAGUCAAUUUUCUUUUCUGUCGACUUACACUUUUCGAUUUUGUGCCCCGCCUGAAUCCAUCAUAUUUCUGAAUCCGCCCCUGCCUGAAGUCUCUCACACAUACAUUUAUUUAUUUAUAAUUUCUGAAAAAUAUAAAUGCUACAGUCACCGAUAAUUCUACUAGUUUUGUUAUCGAUAAAACCAAAACGACGUCGUUUUAGUGCAAAAAAAUCAAAACGAUGUCGUUCAACUAAAUUCAUUCUUACUGGAAAAAAACUAAAAGUUAUUUUACUACCCAAAACGAUGUCGUUUUAAUUCCAUCGGUAACAAAAUCUGUAGAACUAUCGGUGACGGUAGCAUUUCUGUUUCUGAAAUAAUAUUAAUUUUUUUUUUUAUAUAAAAUUAUUAUUAAAAAAUAUUGAAGCUAAGUUUUUUGAAAAAAUAAGAUUACCCGUAUGUGUAGAGUUUUUUUUUUCUCAAUACACAAAUUAAAAUAAUAAAUAUUUUCUUUUUUUAAUAAAAAAUCCACAAUAAAGUUUAGUUUUAUGUAUAUUUAGAUUAGGAGCACUUAGAAAGUAAAAUAUUUAGAUCAAUUUUUUAAAAAAUUGAUAGCAAAAUUUUAUUUUGUAAGUAUAUUUUGAUUAGGAGUACUUAAAAGCAAACUAUUUAGAUCAAUUCUUUUUUAAAAAUUAUUUUUUGAUAAAAAAAUAAAAAUAUAUAUAUUAUAAAUAAAUGUUGCUUUGAGAAAAAAAUUUAUUUAUUUAUUUUAAUAGGUAUAUUGAGAGAGAGAAUUGUAAUCCCUACAUUUAAGAGAAAUAUUAUUAUUUUUGCACAAAAAUUAGCUCUUAAUAAAAUCUUAAAAAUAAUUUUAAAAAUAAUAAAAAUAAUUUUAAAAAUAAUAAAAAUAAGUACUAAUUUUAAAACUACAGCAAAUGUAAGGUCAUUGAAAUUUAGCCUUUAUAUUUUGAACCCAUCUAAAAAGGGGAAGCCCGGUAUAUUUUGUACAAUUCUUAAAGACACUACCAGAGCAUCAAAGUUAAGGUGAAAUACAAAAUUGUAUACCUUACCAUUUUCCCAAUUUCCUGAGGUUUCAAAAACAUGGCUCCCCCUUUUGCAAAUAUAUAUAUAUACAUAUAUAUAAAAACCUCGGGAAAUUAGAAAAAUGGUAAGGUAUACAAUUUUGUAUUUCACCUUAUACCUUACCAUUUUUCCAAUUUCCCGAGAUUUCAAAAACAUGGCUUCCCCUUUUGCAAACAAUAUAUAUAUAAUCUCUCUAUCCUAAUUUUUUUUCAUUUUCAAUUCACUUUCAAUCUCUUGAAAAUAGACAAACAAAUUAGGACGGAAGAAAUACAAAAUAAUUUUAUAGAAAAGAUAUGGUUGUGUUGUGGGAAUAAGUAUUUGUUACAGCAUUAGGCGAUCAUUCAUAGUGUUAUCGACUAGUAGGAAAGAACUAAGACGGAGAUAUUCUUUGACCAAAGAUGCUCAUGUCCCAGUCUCGUUAAGGUUUUAAAAAAAAUUACCAUGUAGCCUUCAAAUUCACAUGGUUUACUCCGAUGUACAUUGAAGAGGCCCAAAUAUAUCACAUGCAAAUAAACAACAUCAAUCCAAUUGAUCAUUUGUUUUGAAUUGAGAUGAUCUUUUUUAUUAAAAGGUAUUAAAGAUAUCUAUAUUAUACCAUCCAACAAAUUGCAUAAAAAAUGAAAAUAUAAUCAAUUAAAUCCCAAGAAUCCCUUUAUAUAGUCCAAAAAGUUUCUAAAAUAAUUGAAAAUAUCAUUAAAAAAUAAUUACAUGGAUUCAUUAGUUGUUCUUAUUAUGACUUUUUAUAAUGCAUGUAUAACAAAUUAUAUGUGAGUAGUGACAAACGAAAGCUAUUUUUAUUUUGUUUUAAAACAUUUAUACUACCCCCUCCUAGGAGAAAUUUUUGAGUACGUAACUUGAGGAUUAUUUAAUACUUUCGGAGUAAUUAUGGUGCCCAUUUGCACUUGGUACUGUUCUAACCAAUUUUUUUUAAAACAACACCCGAUCGGACCGGCCGGUUUCGCGUUUGAACCGUCGAUCGGCCGAGAAACGUUCCCGGUCAACCCCUUUAACCUGUGAGUAUAUUGAACCGGACUGAACCCCGGCACAACCCCGGUUCAACCCGAAACUCGUCGAGACCCGGAACGGUUUUUCCGACCGCCGCAGGUGACUCGGGAGAGGAGAAGAGUGAGAGAGGAGUGGAUUCGGCGCCGGUGCAGAGGAAGACGAGUAGAAGAGGGGUGAUUCGGUGGUGGAUUCCGGUGCCUAGCCAUCGUGGUAGCACAUCUUUGCACGGUGGUUGAUUCGAAUGCCGGUGGUGGUGGCCGACGGCGAGAGCUGAAGGUUGAUAACACCGAGAGCGAGAGAGAGAGAGAGGCGUAAUGAGAACGGUAGGAACUAGGAGCUUGAGCUCUGAGACUUGACUCUGGAUUAUGAAGUCUGAGACUCUGAAGACAGCAAGAAUAGAGAGGCGGAUUUGGAUAUUGGAAUUGUGUAUGGGUUUUUUAAUUUUAAAAUAAUUACACUUUAGAACCCCUAAUAAUUUUAAUUAAAUAUCUUGACUCACAAGUUUAAAUUAUUAUAAUUAGAAACCCUAAUCAUAAUUAUUUUUAUUUAUUAUCUAUUUAUACAAUCUUUAGAGACGUCACGGUUCGAUAACGGUUUUCAAUACGGUUGAACCCACCGUUGAACCGGUGACCCAUGACCCGUGUCUUUUUCCGUUCAAAAUCCCCGGUUUUCCGAUUUUUUAAAACAUUGGCUUCUAACUAAUAUGUCACGAUAAAAUUUUCGGAUGCUUACAUUUUAAAAAGUUAAAAACAAAAGGUAACACCUAAUAUGUACGUUGCGAUUAGUUAUUAAUUAGGAGUAUCAUGUAAACAAUUCCAUUGAUACCCUCCCCUAUUUGAAGGUUACUUGUUCUUAUACAAUCAUAUUAUAAUCACAACUCAUUUGACCUCAAAUCUAUCUCUCCGCGAUAACGUUGAAAUUCAUUUGAGUAAUCCAACGGUUGAGAUUUAAUUUUAGAUUAUUUUUUUUCCUAAAAAUUAUCACUUUUUUCUUCUUAAAAGGUAUGGGACCACAUAAAUUUUUAUCUAAUGGACAAAAAAUCUUUAAAGAUGAGUAUAUAUUUUACCCAUUAGAUCAUUUUUUUAGUAGGACCCCCCAACAAAAAAUUAGAACACACUUUUCUUUUUCUCUCAUUUUUUGAUUUUUAUCUAAUAAUUUUUUUACUAUUUGAUUACUUUUUUAUAUUAUUUUAGUUAUUUUGACGAUAAUAGUCUAAAAAUAUAAAAAAUUAUUUAAUAUGAAGAUAAAAAUAAUUUCUUAUAGUGAACUUUCUCUUAAAUUAGAUAUUUUUUUUGUAUGUUUAGAAUCUUUUCAUCAAGAGAAACCGAAAAAGUAUAAAAUAUUGAUUAAUCGGUGAAAAAAUUCACUAAAGAUAAUAAAAUAUAAAAAAUAAAAUAGAUAAAA